CUUCGAGCAGCUAGAACUACACACACACACACACAGAGGCUGCGCUAUAGCAGGAGAUGAACAUCUGAUUUGUCACAUUUGAAACGCUAAUGUUUAAACCAAAAGGAAGAGCACACAGUAAUGUGUUCAUUCAUCUGCAUAAACACCACCUGUCCCGGCGCAGACAACUCCUCAAGCAGCGAAAGUUUAGCAGCAGCCGGCGCGGCGAGCCAAUCAGUGCGGGCCCAGCUGUGGUUUCACAAACCCGUAGCGUUUUCAAGUGUCAGAAAGCGCUCUGAGUACCGUCGGUGGUGCUGGAGAGAGAAUACUUUCAUUUCAUGUCAACCGCCAGCGAGACGAAUAGGCGACACGAUAACAACAAGAAAACAGGGCGAGCCAUCACGAUUGACAUCCAAAGACUCCUUCCACUGAGUCCGACUGAGCUUGGAGCGAUUCUGCGAAGAAGAAUGGCUAAAGAUUUCUGCCUCUGGCUGUCCAAAGGUGGUAGAGACUUACCAAGAUGCUCCUGCUGCUGGAAACCUCGCCUCUGAGACAAGGGGCCUUCUUGUGACCCGGCGUUAUUGUCGCCUUUUUUCAAGUAUGGCAAGGAGGGAUAGAAAGAAGCAAGCGCAGCCGCCUACACCCCUCCCAACCCUCCACGACCCCUUGAGGCGAGACCAGCAGAAACCUUCAUUGGAUCAGAAGAAACAUUUUGUUGACUGUUUCCAACAUUUCUACAAGGAGAUGAACCUAAAUGAGAGGCCGUCUGUCCCACUGAGACACACAUGGGCAUUCGACCUGGUGGUGAUACUGGAAGUGAUGUCGAAAUAAUUCCCUCAGAAAGUGGUGGAGAAAAGCAGCACAGCGUUGUGGCAUGUUGUGUCCACCUGGAGUACUGCUGACCUUCUGCGAGGCAGCCAGCUAGUUAAAGAAGUCCAUUUUCAAGGCUGUUCCUGCUCAUAUCAAAACUCCAUUAUAGAUUUUACCUCCAGGGGAACCCAGGGCUCACAAGGUCCUUGGCAAUUUUACCUGAGGAAGAAGCUAAAAGGAUUUGAAUCUCCUAGGAUGGAUGAGGAGGAGAGCAGGGGGGAGGAGGGGAAGGUGAGGACGAGAUGCGCACCCUAGGACCCGAGCCACUGCACUAUAAAAAGGGAUUUUUGCUGUGUUUCAAAUAUUAGCCGUUUUAAUCAAGCAUAUUAGUUUGGAAAUGCAGUUAUAUCCAAAUAUGAGCUGUGUGUGUAUAAUCAAAUCCUAACUAAACAUUUAAAUUAGAAUUGAAAUAUUUGUUCAGUCGUUUGUUUUUCUGAACAGGAAGGCUGAGAUGUAUUUAUGGGCUGUUUUAUGAAACAGUAUAUUAACUUAGUAAGAGUUAAGAAAUGAGUUGUUUCUGUUUUGGAG